GAUUAACGCUGGCGGCGUGCAUAACACAUGCAAGUCGAACGAUGAAACUCAUUAGAUUUCUUCGGAAUGAAAAUGAAUGGAUUAGUGGCGAACGGGUGAGUAACGCGUGAGUAACCUGCCUUACACAAGGGGAUAGCCUCUGGAAACGGAGAAUAAUACCCUAUGAAACCAGACAAUCGCAUGAUAAUCUGGUCAAAAUGUUUAGUGGUGUAAGAUGGACUUGCGUCUGAUUAGCUAGUUGGUGAGAUAAAAGCUCACCAAGGCAACGAUCAGUAGCCGGCUUGAGAGAGUGUACGGCCACAUUGGGAAUGAGACACGGCCCAGACUCCUACGGGAGGCAGCAGUGGGGAAUUUUGCACAAUGGGGGAAACACUGAUGCAGCGACGCCGCGUGAUUUAGAAGGCCUUCGGGUUGUAAAAAUCUUUUGUAUAGGAAGAAAAUGACAGUACUAUACGAAUAAGGUCCGGCUAAUUACGUG
rnacentral:rRNA from 1 species